UACGUAGGGUGCAAGCGUUACUCGGAAUUACUGGGCGUAAAGCGUGCGCAGGCGGUUCGGAAAGAAAGAUGUGAAAUCCCAGGGCUCAACCUUGGAACUGCAUUUUUAACUACCGGGCUAGAGUGUGUCAGAGGGAGGUGGAAUUCCGCGUGUAGCAGUGAAAUGCGUAGAUAUGCGGAGGAACACCGAUGGCGAAGGCAGCCUCCUGGGAUAACACUGACGCUCAGGCACGAAAGCGUGGGGAGCAAACAGG
rnacentral:rRNA from 1 species